rnacentral:rRNA from 1 species
UACGUAGGUGGCUAGCGUUGUCCGGAAUCAUUGGGCGUAAAGCGCGUGUAGGCGGUCCGGUAAGUCCGCUGUGAAAGUCGAGGGCUCAACCCUCGAAUGCCGGUGGAUACUGUCGGGCUUGAGUACGGGAGAGGCGAGUGGAAUUCCUGGUGUAGCGGUGAAAUGCGCAGAUAUCAGGAGGAACACCGAUUGCGAAGGCAGCUCGCUGGAACGUUACUGACGCUGAGACGCGAAAGCGUGGGGAGCAAACAGG